GGGGAAUAUUGGACAAUGGGCGCAAGCCUGAUCCAGCCAUGCCGCGUGAGUGACGAAGGCCUUAGGGUUGUAAAGCUCUUUUGUCGGGGACGAUAAUGACGGUACCCGAAGAAUAAGCUCCGGCUAACUUCGUGCCAGCAGCCGCGGUAAUACGAAGGGAGCUAGCGUUGUUCGGAAUCACUGGGCGUAAAGCGCACGUAGGCGGAUCGAUAAGUCAGGGGUGAAAUCCCGGGGCUCAACCUCGGAACUGCCUUUGAUACUGUCGAUCUCGAGUCCGGAAGAGGUGGGUGGAAUUCCUAGUGGAGAGGUGAAAUUCGUAGAUAUUAGGAAGAACACCGGUGGCGAAGGCGGCCCACUGGUCCGGUACUGACGCUGAGGUGCGAAAGCGUGGGGAGCAAAC
rnacentral:rRNA from 1 species